UGUAGUCUGGUGUGUUGGGCAUGUUAUGUUUUGGUCAUAGGGGUAAUUUGGAGUUGGCUACAA
rnacentral:tRNA from 1 species